rnacentral:rRNA from 1 species
GACGAACGCUGGCGGCGUGCCUAAUACAUGCAAGUUGAGCGCUGAAGGUUGGUACUUGUACCGACUGGAUGAGCAGCGAACGGGUGAGUAACGCGUGGGGAAUCUGCCUUUGAGCGGGGGACAACAUUUGGAAACGAAUGCUAAUACCGCAUAAAAACUUUAAACACAAGUUUUAAGUUUGAAAGAUGCAAUUGCAUCACUCAAAGAUGAUCCCGCGUUGUAUUAGCUAGUUGGUGAGGUAAAGGCUCACCAAGGCGAUGAUACAUAGCCGACCUGAGAGGGUGAUCGGCCACAUUGGGACUGGGACACGGCCCAAACUCCUACGGGAGGCAGCAGUAGGGAAUCUUCGGCAAUGGACGAAAGUCUGACCGAGCAACGCCGCGUGAGUGAAGAAGGUUUUCGAAUCGUAAAACUCUGUUGGUAGAGAAGAACGUUGGUGAGAGUGGAAAGCUCAUCAAGUGACGGUAACUACCCAGAAAGGGACGGCUAACUACGUGCCAGCCGCCGCGGUAA